CACGUAGGGGGCGAGCGUUGUCCGGAUUUAUUGGGCGUAAAGAGCUCGUAGGCGGCUCAGUAAGUCGGGUGUGAAAUUUCAGGGCUCAACCCUGAAACGCCACCCGAUACUGCUGUGGCUAGAGUCCGGUAGGGGAGCGUGGAAUUCCUGGUGUAGCGGUGAAAUGCGCAGAUAUCUGGAGGAAUACCGGUGGCGAAGGCGGCAUCCUGGACUGGCAUUGACGCUGAGGAGCGAAAGCCAGGGGAGCAAACGGG
rnacentral:rRNA from 1 species